UUCAACAACGGAUCUCUUGGCUCUCGCAUCGAUGAAGAACGCAGCGAAAUGCGAUACGUAAUGUGAAUUGCAGAAUUCAGUGAAUCAUCGAAUCUUUGAACGCACCUUGCGCCCCUUGGCAUUCCGAGGGGCACACCCGUUUGAGUGUCGUGAAAUU
rnacentral:rRNA from 1 species